rnacentral:rRNA from 1 species
GAACUGAAGAGUUUGAUCAUGGCUCAGAUUGAACGCUGGCGGCAGGCCUAACACAUGCAAGUCGAGCGGAUGACGGGAGCUUGCUCCUUGAUUCAGCGGCGGACGGGUGAGUAAUGCCUAGGAAUCUGCCUGGUAGUGGGGGACAACGUUUCGAAAGGAACGCUAAUACCGCAUACGUCCUACGGGAGAAAGCAGGGGACCUUCGGGCCUUGCGCUAUCAGAUGAGCCUAGGUCGGAUUAGCUAGUUGGUGAGGUAAUGGCUCACCAAGGCGACGAUCCGUAACUGGUCUGAGAGGAUGA